UUGCUUUGGCAGCACAUAUACUAAACCUGGAAUGAUACAGAGAAGAUUACCAUGGCCCCUGCACACGGAUGACAUGCAAAUUCAUGAAGCAUUCCAUAGUUUU